GGGACAGAGGGUUUUUUCUUCCUCUCUUCUUUGUUUGAGAUCAGAGCAGUUUCUCCCAGUUAUUGUGGGAGAUGGGUGACGCUUCUCUCUCCCUCCCCAAGAACAGACUUCUUGAAAUGUGUACCCAUGCCAUCUGAGCGAGGUGGUCGAGCUGAGGGUGUGUCAAGUAUCCGUGGUUCUGCGUCAGCAAGUCGCGGUGUCUGGGAAGAUGGUACAGAGGAUGGACUGACAUGUGAAACAGAACUUUGGGAAUGAGAGGAGUAGGUGGAAAGGCAUAUAGAAGGUGGUGGCUUCAGUCGCAUAGGAGCGCAUCUCCCAUCGACUUCGGUACAAUACCCACUCGUAAGCAGUAUUGAGGGCACUUUGCAUUCCGGUGCGUGGCAAAGAGGUCUGUGGAUGGAUAUUCCCAGCAGCGGAAAAGGGAUUCGAUCAGAGAGCGUUCACUCCGUCCGCGGCUGAGGACAGCCAGGAGGAACUGGCGGGAGCCGGACGGUGCACUCAGAAAUGGCACAAAAGGCACGAGAUGCGCAUGGCGCAUGUGUGGUCCGGCGAACUACAGCUGGAAAAGAUCUCUGAUCUGCAGCGCCGGGACAAGCCUGACACCUAUAGUGGAGCACCCACGGGACACUGCUCGAAGAAGAAUAGCUAGCUUCCAUGGGAGAAUGAAACGAUUUGUACUACACAUAUCCCUUGCUUACAUUGUGUGUUGUGAGACUGAACUAAGUAAAACACUGUUCAAGGCCUUAGAUCCAUGAAUCUAAGAGUAAAGUGGUAUCCAGAAUCAAGAAGGAAGUUAAGGCUAAAGCUUUUUGGUACAGAAAUUGUGUUUUUUCCAUGUUCUGAAACAUGCCCCAGCUCUGUCAGCCUUUUGUACAGUUUUGUUUGGGGGCACUGAAGUUUACAUUUGCUCCUGUGUGGACAUUCUUCCACAUGUCAAUUUAGAGUAACAGCUGAGGGAAUCCAUGUCAGAGAACUGGUCAGUAAGAAUUGGUGCGAUCUAGAAAACAAACAGCAGACAAAUCUGCGAUGCUUUAACCAUGUAAAUAAUGCUCGUGUUUCCUUUUCCUAUUAAUACAUUUGUGGCUAGUUUAUCACUGGACUGGCUACAAGCACUGCCAUCAGUGAAAUUGAAGGUGCAAUUGACCUGGUGUCUGGGAGUAACCUGAAAACUGCUCCGAUUCUUGGUGUGUGUAUAGGGCAAUCUAUCACAGACACAGGCUCACCUAAGUGGCAAGACAGAUCGGAAUACAAAAGGGCAUCUGUGAUUCCAUGUUCCGGCUGUUUUAGUGUCUGAGAGUCCAUGUUCCGGAUGUUUUACACUUGGUAACUGGCUGCUGAGAUUUGAGCAGAGACCUCACAGCCAAUCUGAGGUUUGUCCCCUGGUUCGUAAGAAUCUCCCCUGAAGCUGGUACUAAUUCUCUUGGGCCACUGUGGGGCAGCUGGACUGAAACAGUGCAAGAACUCUCGGAACAGAGCCACUCCACCUUCAUCCACCCAGAGUCUGUAAUAAGCCCUCAGCCAAUUACUACAAGGAAGACCCCAGUUCCCUUGUUUUAACUACAACACAUUCUGAUGUAGCGUGUUUUGAAUACAGCAGCAUUGGAAAGGGACACAAACCCUGCAGCAACAAUGCUCUUUGUCAGCUAGGUUACGCAAUCAAACCAACUUGCCUCAGAAGUAAAAAUGGCACAUGGAUCAUAUUAGUACUUCUGGCAGCCUGCCCCUUUUUUAACGAGUCUCCUUCUAGCUCCUAGAUUCCCCAAAGUUAAAUCAGCUUAAAAGUGCUCUUCUCUGCACAACUGAACUCCGGGCUAUGGGGCCUGAUUCUGCCACUGAAGAACGCAAUCUCUCCACCCAGAGUUUUGCAGGACAAUAAAAGCUUGCUGAAGAGCUGCAUGUGUAGUGGACACACCAUGACGAGAAAGGGAGAACUCUUAUUCCAGCCAAGCUCUGAAUCCAAGGCAAAGAAAGCCAUCCUCAGUUCCAAGGGUCUGGUUAAAAUGAUCAGCCAGGCUGAGCUGCAAGGGAGUUGUGAGACUCUCUCUCCUCCCUACUGCAGACACCUCUUGAGAGAGCUGUGACUAGAUAUUAACAUCCCACUCACUAGAGCCCUGUAAAUCCAUGAAUAUCAGCUUUAUAUCCACGAAUGUGAAUGCAGAUGUCCUCGAAUCACUUUUGCAGAUACAAAUGCAGAUGCUGAUGCAAAACAGGUCUGGCACUCACACUGAAGGAGAGUUGGCUCCUUAUCUUGAUACAAGAGCAGAGCUUCCUAACAGGCCAGGAAGCGUGACAACAAAUUAUAAACAAAUUCAAGCCAUUUUACAGAGAAAGUCCCACACCUGAUCAGACCAAAGGUCCUCUAUUAGAGCAGCAGUGCACCAAGGCUCCAGAGCAGGCUCAGACGCUGUCAUUCUCGGCACCGUCCAAACACAGAGCGAGACCGCGUGCUUGUGCCAGAGAACGCACAAUUGCACGGGAUCGUUCCAGUGAGCUUGUCUCCACACUGAUCCGCAACUGCUGCCUCCUGGGAAAGUGUAAAACCCCCUUGGCCAUGUGCUUGAAUAACUAGCUGUGAGGAAAGCUUGUCCGCACCCAGGCAGCCAGUGCUUGGCUUUUGUCCUGAAGCAGGAGGGUUUGCUGCACAUGUUUAUCUCAGAGGCUAUUUCCAGUCAAAGACGUGCCUGAGUACCUAAGACCAGGAGUGUCCCGGGUUCCAUUUUAGUCCCUCACCAGCAUUUUUAUUUGUAACUGUUUUCUGUGUCAGUCAUCUCUGUGUAGGGUCACUUCGACCGUGGCUCUUUGGAAACACAUUUAUUCUGGCAUUAGAAAUCACCUCCAUGCCUCCUACUCAAGUUGGGUGAUUGGUGUGCACAGCUCAGCCGGGGCAACUACCCGCUCCAGAGUAACAGCAGCCACUAAGCCUGGGACACAAACUACACCAAUAGUAGGAGAUGGUGAGAAAAAGCACAUUGAGGUUCCCUCCAACAAGCCAUCCAAAUGCAGUGGGAAGUGGAGAGAAGGUUUGCCAGCAACACACACAGGAGAGAGAGCUGCUGGGAGCUUUACAACAAGCCAGAUGAGAAAAUAGAGGCCCCUUCAGCUCUGUUUUUAAUGCCAUUAACUUUAACAGGAACAGGCCUUGGUUCCCACAACACUUAACCUCUUGACUCUCAUCUUCAGCGUUGCCAGUAGAUUCUCAUUUUUCAGACCCAUCUCCACUGAUCUACACAGGCUCCCAAAACUGCACCCCACUGAGGGAAAUCAGCCACUUUCAACUUGACUCUCUUUGUAAAAUGUCUUGUCUUUUCCUUAUCAGCAAAGCAACACACAGUGUGGUACAAAAGACACAAGACAGUCUGCUGCUCUCAGUAAAGCAAGGAGGCCCUGCCUGCAGAGGGAAUCUGCCAGAGCAAGGACUGCAGGAUUUGGCCCACCCUCUGCAUACACACAGAGCCGUGUGUUCGCUGACAAGUAGAGAACUACAUUAUGCAGAAUCUAUAAUAAGCUCACUCAUGUACUCACAAAGCUCUGUGUGUAAUUGUAAACACACAAACGCAGUGAGUUCUCAUUGAUACCUGAAGCACUGGUUUGCACCUGUACACAGUUUAGAAGCUGCAGCAGAUGAACAACAGGGGCAAAAGAAUUCAAUAGAGAUCCACAUGGAAGCUUCUCCAUAGCCCUUGGAAUAUUAAAGGGACGAGAUGCCAGGCUCCCCAGAAAUGCAGCCUGACCUAGUCUUCAGUCUGUGAAGCGCUGCUGCGCCACGCAGGAAAAGGAGAGAAAGGUUCUGCAUUUCUGCCCCUAGAACUUCAUGGAAAUUAGAUUAAGAAUCCAGAAGCUGCUAUUUCACUCUGCUGAAAAUCACAGACUCAUAGAAGAUUAGGUUUGGAACAGACCUCAGGAGACCAUCUAGUUUAGCAGGACCAACCCCCAACUAAAUCAUCCCAGCCAAGCCUUUGUCAAGCCUGGCCUAAAAACUUCCAAGGAUGGAGAUUCCACCCGCUCCUUAGGCAAUCCAUUCCAAAGUGCUUCACCAUUCUAGUGACAUCGUUUUUCUAGAUCCCUGCCCCACUACUCCAUGUUCUGUCAUCUGCCGCCACUGAGAACCCUCUUUGGAACCACCAGCCCCCUUCAGGGAUUUGAAGGCUGCUAUCAAAUCCCCACUCACUCUUCUUUCUUGAAGACUAAGACCACUUCCCUCAGCUGCUCCCCAUACGUCAUGUGCUCCAGCCUGCUUAUCAUUUUUGCUACCCUCUGCUGGACUCUCUCCAAUUUAAUAAAUAGGAAACUAGACCACACCUUUGCUCUACAGUGUGGCAUUUCCACGCACGCCUUCAGGCGACACUUACAGACAGGCUCAAAAGGCAAAGUUCAAAUCCUUCCUCAAAAACUCAGGCUGUCCUGAGCCAGAAGUUUGCUUCAGGCCUACCUCCAAUUACUUUCUUGUCAGAUGCAUAAAUGUAUUCCAGUAUCAGGUGGAGUGGUGCCCUAGAGGGUUGGACUCCCCUGUGUGUGCACCACUGUGUAAACCGUUGCCAUUUGUACAGGUAAGUCUUGCAUGUCGUUUGUCUCCUGCUAUGCAGUAGGGCAUUUUUCACUUGUUGGAAGCACAGUUGCUCCGCUCCCGAGAAUCAGAUACCAUGCCAUCAGGUAUGAAGUAUUGAGCCCUUGUUCUGGGAGAAAAGGUUUGAGAGGUUUAGAAGCAGGCAGGGAGGUCCUAGAGACAGGCAAUAAAGACAUGGGAACCCUGUCUGUCAAGGCCGCACUGGGGCUAUUAGAAUCACCCAAGCCCCAUCCACCUGUAUCUUCUGGAGGACUCUGGGAAUGAGAGGGAUGGGAGGGAAGGCGUAUAAUAGAUGCGUCCCCCAAGUGAGGAGAACUGCAUCUCCCAGGGAGCCAUGUCCUAUGCCCGCUCUCGAACAGUACUGGGGGCAUUUGGAGUUCUGUCGGGUCACAAAAAGGUCUAUCUGUGGUACACCCUUGCGUUAGAACAGCUCGCAGGUGGUACUUAGCCAGAGGGUGUGAAGCUAUUUUUCUCUGAGUCACAAAUUUUACUACAGAAUCUAAGUUUUCAUUUCUAACAAAGUUCCCACCUCUGUGGAUGGGAAGGUACUCUACCAGAUACAGUACCUGCACUAAUAAGGUUCUCUGAACAGAUCCCAUUAAGAAAUAGGCAGUUCAUGUUCUGUCCACUGAAGAGAUACCCUGUUCCUGUGAGGUGUGGAAGGUCCAUAAGAAGAGAGACCUGUUCCAGCAGCACAUAAUAGAUCCAUGGUGGUGAAAGAAUGCAUCCUUGUUCUGCUGGACACAAAGUCCCUUAAGAACAUAAAAACGGCCAUACAAUGGUCCAUCCAGCCCACUAUCCUGUUUCCAACAGUGGCCAGUGCCAAGUGCUUCAGAGAGAAUGAACAGAACAGGGAAUCAUCAAGCAAUCCAACCCGUCAUCAGAUCCCAACUUCUGGCAAAGAGAGGCUAGGAAUACCAAGAGCAAGGUCAAUGAGGCUUAUCAGGUUCACCGGGACUCACAAACUCCACCUCCUGCAAGAUUUAGGAGCCUAAUCCUAAAACAUCCUCCUUCCCAUGAUCCUUCGGAGGCUCAUAGUUUCCAUGCAUAAGCUAGGCCCUCCCACCCCUACCAGUGGCCUUACAAGGCUCCUUCUUCACCAGGCCAUCAAUGAUGCAGAACAGGCUCCAAGCCAAUUGAGUCUCAUGCAGGCAAAGGGUGGUCUUGCUCAGCCAUGUGACUUUGGCCAGCCUACUAUACUCUCAUGCAUUUCCAGUAGCUCUGAUUUCCAUCAUGGGUAUGCCUCCUUCACUAGGUCACCAAGAUGCCAAAUUCUCUUCUUAAUCAGCUACCUGCCUGGGUUCCCACGAGACCCAACAUUAAACCAUUGUCACAGGUCAGCUGUCUCCCAAGUGAUCCUGGUGGCUAGGGGUGGCUCUAUAGCCCCCUCCCUCAAUUUCCCUCCUUGGACUCCUCAAAUACUCACAAGAGACUUUCACAAGCUCAACAACGGCCCUUCCUGGGCUCUCGUUUAUUGACCUGAACUUCACAAUUACCCAAAAGUCUUUCUAGGUUGAGGAACUCCAUCUGCUGGCUCUCUGAGCCCACCAUCUUUACCUUCCUCCAACAGGAAUAAACCCUCCAACUACAGCUUUCUAGCUAGGCUCCCUCAGGGAGCACUGGAGGAGGUAUCCCCUUCCUCCAGUCUCACCCAGCAAUCCCCUCUGAGCUGCCCACAGACCUGUUUUUCUACCCCUCUCUUCCCCCACCCCACUGCCAAAAAAACCCUUUGUUUAGUCAAAUGACCGUCUGUGUCAUGAUUUAAUUCACUCCCUCAACCUAGGCAACCAAAUCAGCUGUGCCCCAGAUAGCUCAGACCUAUAUCCCUGUAGAGGACAACAACAAACAAUGUUGUGGUUCUUGCUCUUCAUGGCACUAGUUAAUGCACCUAGUGAAAUUCAGCCACACAGCUUUACUUAAUAUUAAGGGAAUUUACUUGCACAUCACACUGAACACUAACCCAGACUUUCCCAUUCACAGAGUCUUAAUUUUUUGGGCUUCCAGACUUGCCCAGUCUGUCACUGAUAUUUUCCGUAACCUCCUCUAAUUGUACUGCUGUCCCCACCAUUUGGUUCUUACCUCGCUGCCAUUUGUAUUUUCAGAUCUCUAUGGUGUAUCACCUGUUCUACCUUAACAUUUUGUCCUGCUUGGUUUGAUAUUAGCACAUUAUCAUUCCGUUUCCUUUUCCUUGGCUAUAUUUCCCUAUUUUUUGUCCCUCCACCGUGCAUUUGCUUUACAUACUAUCCCUGAAGCUAACAUGUCAUUUGCCAUUUGUGUUUACUUAAGGUAAGCUCCUGACUCCAGCUGGAGUUUUGCACACUACUGCAGAUUCUCCCAUUCCUGACCAAAGGAAGAAGGGAGAGUAGCAAAAUACACACCCUGGACUUCAGAAAAGCAGACUUUUGACUCCCUCAGAGAACUGAUGGGCAGGAUUUUGAAGCACUU